CGCCGCCCAGGCCCAGGGGCUCUGGAGGCUUCGCCCUGGUCUUCCCGGCUCCGCGCGACCUGAUGACGUAAGACCGGGCCGGCCCCUCCAGGGCUGCAUCAAGUGACGGCUAUGUCACGUGAAGCCCCGGUCACGCGACUCGCGUAGACCCGGUGCUCAGUUUUAGUGGGUUUGGAGAAAGCCGGAAAGGAAAAGGCGGGCCAAGGUGGGCUAAGGGAAGAAGCGCUCAGGAAUACGAGCAGCAUAAAGGCCAGCGCCGGCGAUGUACAUCACAGCCAUGAGGAAGAACCAGCCCAUCUGGCCCACCGUGGUGGCCUUGACAAAGCCCUCGGCGAUAGUAAAGUGCAUAGUGGGCACAACACCACUCAAGCCAAGCCCCAGGAACACUCCUGAAUGGGGCAGACACGAGACCGUCAGGCAGGGGAAUAGCUGCUACACAGCAGGCUCUGCUGCCUUACUCUGGACUCCAACAUCUGUGAGUUUGGUUCAUAAUACCCUCAGUCUUAAAGAACAGCAAUCAAGGGUCAACCAAGGUCAGUGGUACGAUUCUGGAGCGAUCUUUUUCUUCCUUCCUGUGGACCAAGACUAUAUAAUCCCUGGACAGUUAAAGGAGACCAGACAUCGGACUUUUCCCUAUCCAAAUCUCUCACCAAGU